rnacentral:rRNA from 1 species
UACCAGCCCCCCGAGUGGUCGGGACGAUUAUUGGGCCUAAAGCAUCCGUAGCCGGUUCUACAAGUCUUCCGUUAAAUCCACCUGCUCAACAGAUGGGCUGCGGAGGAUACUAUAGAGCUAGGAGGCGGGAGAGGCAAGCGGUACUUAGUGGGUAGGGGUAAAAUCCGUUGAUCCAUUGAAGACCACCAGUGGCGAAGGCGGCUUGCCAGAACGCACUCGACGGUGAGGGAUGAAAGCUGGGGGAGCAAACCGG